CUGCAUGUGCUUCUCCCAGCCCCGGGGCCCCGACGACCCCCUCGUGUCCCGUGGAAGUCAUCGCAGAACCAAUCCUGAGAACCACAAAGAGCCCUUGGGGCUGAAAACUUCUUUUGAUCGAGUGAAUUACUGCUGCCUUGAAUUUGCUUUCUUUGCAAUAAAUGAAGGAAUGGAUUAGAUAUCCCAUCUUUUAAGUAGCCAUCAAAAAUCCUGGUUCCUCCAUUUGCAACUUUUCCACAUAUGCCCGCGAGGUGAUCACUUACAGUGUUGCUGAGGCACAGAUUUGAAUUUAAGUUGCUGCAAAACACGUGAGCUGCAACAAGUAAAUGAUCUGGUAAGUGAAGUUAGCUGGCUGCCACAAAGCACAUCACAAUUUGACUCUGUAAUUCUCUACUUAUUGUUA
rnacentral:lncRNA from 12 species